UGUGGCCUUGUUGUUUCUGUUGAAGAAGUAGAAGUCGUCUGCUUCAGAGGAGCGGUGAGAGCGUGUUUAGGAGAAAGAGGAAGACUUGUUUUUAUAUCGUUUCAUAUCAAGUCUUUAUUAGUAGUGGCGCAGUGGAACAAUGGCUGUUGAAGUUGAUGUGGUUAACCAGGAACUGAUCCAGCCUCAUCACGAUGUGAAGCUGUUCAACCGGUGGACCUUUGACGAUGUCCAAGUGAAUGACAUCUCUCUGGUUGAUUACGUUGGUGUUGCACCUGCCAAGCAUGCCACCUAUGUCCCCCACACUGCCGGGAGGUACUCUGUCAAGCGCUUUCGAAAAGCUCAGUGCCCAAUUAUUGAGAGGCUCACAAAUUCUCUGAUGAUGCAUGGAAGAAACAACGGGAAGAAACUCAUGGCUGUCAGGAUUAUUAAGCAUGCAAUGGAGAUUAUUCAUCUUCUGACCGAUCUCAACCCAAUUCAAGUCAUUGUCGAUGCGGUUGUUAACAGUGGACCACGUGAAGAUGCCACUCGAAUUGGCUCAGCUGGUGUUGUUAGGCGUCAAGCUGUGGAUAUAUCCCCUUUGCGACGUGUUAAUCAGGCAAUCUAUCUUCUUACAACAGGUGCUCGUGAGGCCGCUUUCAGAAACAUCAAAACAAUUGCAGAAUGCUUGGCGGAUGAACUUAUUAAUGCAGCAAAGGGAUCAUCCAACAGUUAUGCAAUCAAGAAAAAGGAUGAGAUUGAAAGAGUUGCUAAGGCAAAUCGUUGAGAGAUGGUCGAGCAAAAAAACAAACGAUGUCAAUUAGCAAAACAAUCAAAUCUAAAGGAAAGGUAGAAGAAAAGCAAAUGAAGAAUGAAAAGGAAGCGGAGUUAAGUCACUACUGCUACAGCAACUCGAACUCUUCGAGAAGCACAUAAGCAUUGGGUAAAGGCAAAUGAAAAAGCUCGAGCAUACAUCUUGGUAAGCUUAUUUGAAGUAUUGGGCAAGAAACAUGAAUCAAUGCUAACGACUUGUGAGAUCAUUGACUCAUUGCAAGAGAUGCUUGGUUAGGUCUCUUAUCAGAUCAAACAUGAUGCUUUGAAAUACAUUUAAUUAUAAUGCAUGUAUGAACGAAUUGAAGGAGCCUCAGUGCGAGAACAUGUUCUCAAUAUGAUGGUUCAUUUCAACGUACAUGCCAGAAAUGAAUGAGGUUGUCAUCGAUAAAGCCAGUCAGGUUAGCUUUAUUUUGGAAUCUCUGUCAGUGAGUUUUAUGCAAUUUAGAAGAAAUGUUGUUAUGAACAAGAUUCUUAUACCCUUGCCACCUUCUCAACGAGCUAGAGAAUUUUGAGUCUCUAAUGAAAAUCAAGGGACAGAAGGGAGAGGCCGACAAAUGUUGCUACUUCCACAAGAAAGUUCAAUAAAGGUUCGACCUUUGGAACCAUGUAUAUGCCUUCUUCAUCUGGCACUAAGAAGUGGAAGAAGAAGAAGGGUGGUCAAGGAAAUAAAGCUAACUUCGUUGCUGCUAAAACGAGCAAGAAAGCCAAGGCUGCAAAUAAAAUAUGUUCCAUUGCAACCAGGAGGUACAUUGGAAGAGAAACUAUCCCAAGUACUUAGCAGAAAAGAAGAAGGCCAAAUAAGGGAAUUAGUUCCUGGCGACAGUUGAAGACUUGAGAGAUGACGAUGCUGGUUGGAAUUGGGCAUGUCGUCUCCGCAGUUGUAAUGGGAGGGCUUGCUCUUUGUUUACAUAAUUUUUUCCUUUUAUUAGAAAACAUAUAUGUUGUUCCCGAUUUAAAAAGGAACUUGAUUUCUGUAAAGUGCUUACUAGAACCAAUCUUACAACUUUAACUU